CGGUUCCCUCCUUCUCGAAAGACCUCUCACCGUUUCUUGGACGCGAAGUCACUGUUCUUCUUCUUCUUCUUCCUCGUCUCCUUCUUCUUGGUACUCUCUCUCUCCCUCUCAAAAGAGCUCUCACCGUUUCUUGGACCAGAGGUUACUGCUCCUCUUCUUCUUCUUGGUAUUCUCUCUCUCUCUGCGUCGAUUAGACAUAUAUUUUGUUUAAUCUUGAUGUUGACGGCUGGUGUUUGAUUCUUAUUCUGAUCUUUUCUUGAAUGUCUGAUAGCAGGAAGGGGCUGAAAUCUUUGUUCAAGUGAGUGUUCGUUUACUUCGGUAGGAUCUCUUGCUCUGGAUCUUUAGUUUUAGAUAAUCACAUAUUUUUCAUCGAUUUUAAUUGGAUAUCUUUGAAUAAUGGUGCGAUUUUUCCACUUCUUG
rnacentral:lncRNA from 1 species